UCGGUGUCUGUGGAGAGAAGGGCUGAAGUGAAAGGGAAGAGAGCACCAAAGCUGGCCCCAAACGGGAGGGUGGUACUUGUGGGGCACACAGCACAGCUCUGUGGCUGACUUCAUGCCAGGACACCCCACUGGCUGAGGGCUGCCCACGAAUGGUAAACUGCAGCUGUGUUGGCUGGACAGAACCAUGGCCCUGUGUGAACUGCAAUGUGUCCCUACAGGCAGGCACAGGAUGAGCCGGAAGGGGUGUCCAGGAUCCCGGCAGCAUAGGAGACAAGCAGAGCGCUGGUCAUGCCUCUCCCUAGGGGCCUGCAGGGCAAGGCCAGAGAGACUGUCACCUGCUCUCUACCAGCAGCUGUGUGCAUGCAUUAGAGCCUGCCUGGAAGCCACUGGUGGGCAAGCAGCAUUGAGUGGGGUUUGGAGAGGGCACUGAGGGUCAGAGGGCCCGAAGGUGGCAUCCAAACAAAUAGGUUGGGGGCUGGGGGGAGCUAGGGAGGACCAAGAUGGGAACAGGCCUAGGCCAGCAGGGAUGUGAGGGGGCAGAUCCUGGGAGAGGCUGCAGUGUCAAGGCCUAGGGCAAUGAAGGGAUGGUGUGUGAAGGGGGCACCAAAGCUGUGUGAUGGGGGGCUGGGCAACCCUGACAAGACAAGAGAGGUUGGAGGCACACAGUGUUUGAGGGACCCUGGGCCAGCCAUGCCGUUUCCAAAGGGGGCAGGGAAAAUUCCUCAAAGAUUAUUUCCUUUCUGCUAGCUAGCAGCAUCUCCUCUCACUGCAGCUCUCGGAGCUGGAUCAGCAUGCUGUGGCCAUGCCCCCUCUGCUCCCGCUUGCUGCCAGAGGAAUAUUUCCAAGCGGUAAAACUGGAACAGCGUUAACAAAUAUUCCAGAGAUAAUGACAUUAUGUACAUUGAACCAAGGAAGACAAUCCUAUGGUAAAUAUUCCACUUAGUAUCCAACUCUGGCUCCUGAGCCAUCCAGGGUGGGGACAACUGUGGGAGACGAUGCUAGCAGAAAGCAAGUUAUUUCUACAAAAUUUUCUGUUCUGCAGCCCAGUGUCUCCCACAGUUCUGGCUGUCUGGAAAGUAGUGAGCAGAUGUAGGGAGGGUUAUGAAACAAAAGUUUGAUAGGAAAGUAUCCCCUACCCCUUUUGUGAACUUGCUCAAAAGUCUGUACUAUUUCUGAGCCACUGCCUGCAGCACCAUUCUGCCACAGGAGCCCCUGCAGAAGACAGAAGGCCCACCCUGUGGAGCUUAAUGAAGGUGUUAGCUGUAGACCAAGUGGCCACUUUGUAAAUUUCCAAAGCACUUGCUUAUCUCUCCCAUGAGGCUGCUAAGGAUCUCAUGGAGUGCACCUUGAUCCCUUCUGGGACUGGAGCCUCUGAGGAUUCAGGAUUCCACAAUACAUAGUCUGAUCCACCUAGCAAUGGAGGACUUCGAAGCUCUGAUUCUCUGGCAUUUCGAGUAGGACGACACAAAUUUGGAGCCCGAUCUUCUUGUGGAUUCUGCACAUUUGAGAGAUUUUCAAAGCUCUUCUGACAUUCCAGGUCUACCACAUCUUUGCCAUUGGAUAUUGUAGUUUUAGACAGAACAAAAGAAGCACAGCCUCUUGGGAAGUGUGGAAGGAGGAAUUUACCUUAGCAAGAAAGGAUGCUGGUGUCCCAAGCCCCACCUUGACCUCAUGGAGCACCCAGUAAGGCUCACAUGUGGAUAAGGCUGCCAGCUCCGACACUUGCCUGGCGGACAUGACAGUUACUAAGAACAAGUCUUAAGGAUAAAUGAAAGGCCGACACUGGAGUCAGAAGUUCAAAGGGAUGGCUGUCAGGGCCCUCAAAACUAGCAGUAGGUCCCAUGCUGGGAAGACUGGCCUGGCUGCUGGUCUGGCUAAUCGGACUGCUAGAAGGAAUCUGGCUACCUAUGGAUGGUCUGCAAGGAGGGCAAGGAUCCUACAAAUAGCACAAUAUUAAGAGCAGACACCUGACAUGAAAUGCAACAGAAGGUCCUGUGGCACCUUUAAGACUAACAGAAGUAUUGGGAGCAUAAGCUUUCAUGGCUCCAGAGGCCCUGGGCUGUUUGGGUCUCCAAGUGAGCUCCCCAGCCCUCCAAGCUGGCCUUGGUUGCGAGGAUUAAAGGAUCUGGAAGGCAGAUGGACAUACCUUUGCAGGCAUUAUCAUGGGCUGACCACCACUGUAAGGUGUUAAAUACCUAUGUUGGAACCCCUACUUGAUCUUUCAUGUGUUCCAGGGAAUGGUCCCACACCUUUAGUAUGAAGGCUUGAAGACGUCUGAUGAGCGAUUGUGCCCAUGGAGUGAUGCCUAUGCACAGUACCAUGAGUCCUAGCACAGCACAGUGCUAUGGUGGUUAUUCUGUUGGAUGGAACCAGAGACCUUUUCUUGGCACUGAUGAUGAAGCCGUGCCCCUGGAGGAGAUUCAACAUCCAAAAUGUGGUCCUCUGCACCGCUGGAGUUCUGAUUGGGAUGUUGUCGAGAAUAGAGUACAGGGGAGUUCUUUGCAACCUGAGUCUGGCUAUUACCACCAUCUGUGUAAAACCCUGGGGGCCAAAGACAGGCCAACCAGGAGCAUUCAGUACUCAUAACGUUUCCUGCUGUAGGUGAACCUCAGAAGUCUGUGGUGGCAUGAUCGGAUGGGGAUAUGGAGAUAUGCGUCUGCAAGAGGUACUGAAGUCAAGAAGUCCCUCUGGACAGGGAGGACACUCUACAGGCCAGGGUCUCCAUCAGAAGCAUUGUUUUCUUCAUCCACUUGUUCAGCCUUUUGAGGUUGAGAAUGGCUCUGAUACCAACUAUGUGCUUCUGCACAAUGAAGAUGGAGUACAACCUGGCAAACCUUUUUCUGAGGGAACAGUCUUGGUCAUGCCAAUAUCCAGAAGAUGAGAUAUUUCAUUCUGGAUCAAAUUGUUUUUUACAGGGUUGUUGAAACUAAGUGACUGGAUGAAGAAUGGAUGGGGUAGAGGCCACAGUUCGAGGGACUAUCCCUGACUCACUAUCACCCUGAUUAACUUCUCUGUGGUUAAAGAAAAACAUUCUUCUAGAAAAUGGGGAAUUCUGCCCCCUCGCUUCUCCCCUCGCUUCUUGUCAUAAAUUGGAUUUUAGGGGAGCUGAGGUCCCUCUGGACUUUCCCCAUGGAUUUUGACCCUACUGUUUUCCCUUGGGGAACCUGCUGUCCCUUCACAGGUACCUCUGUGAGGACAAGUAGCGAAAGGCCAGACUUCCACCUUAAUUUAAUUGAUUUGUUAGCACUGACCCCCCAUUUGGUAAGGCAACUCCCAUCUUUUCAUAUGCUGUAUAUUUAUACCGUUCUACUGUAUUUUCCACUCCAUGCACCUGAUGAAGUAGGUUUUAGCCCAUGAAAACUUAUGCCCAAAUAAAUUUGUUA